rnacentral:rRNA from 1 species
CACCAGACUCCUACGGGAGGCAGCAGUGAGGAAUAUUGGUCAAUGGCCGAGAGGCUGAACCAGCCAAGUCGCGUGAGGGAUGACGGCCCUACGGGUUGUAAACCUCUUUUGCCGGGGAGCAAAGUGCCGCACGUGUGCGGUUCGGAGAGUACCCGGAGAAAAAGCAUCGGCUAACUCCGCGCCAGCAGCCGCGGUAAUACGUAGGUGGCAAGCGUUGUCCGGAAUUACUGGGUGUAAAGGGAGCGUAGGCGGGAAGCCAAGUCAGCUGUGAAAACUACGGGCUUAACCUGUAGACUGCAGUUGAAACUGGCUUUCUUGAGUGAAGUAGAGGUUGGCGGAAUUCCGAGUGUAGCGGUGAAAUGCGUAGAUAUUCGGAGGAACACCGGUGGCGAAGGCGGCCAACUGGGCUUUAACUGACGCUGAGGCUCGAAAGUGUGGGGAGCAAACAGGAUUAGAUACCCCCGUAGG